GGACUUAAAUGUAAUUAUGUAAUAAAGGAAUGAGUAAAUAUGUAAUAAGUGAGGAGUCCUUAUUCUAUAAAAGGACCCAUUCACCCUCACAAUUAGGGAGAGCCUCAUUCUCACCCUCAGAGGCCAAUUCCUAAGCCCUCUCACCCUCUCAAAGCUCUCACUCUUAGAGCUCUCUCUCCCUCAGAUAAAUACAUAAUCAGUGUGGACGUA
rnacentral:lncRNA from 1 species